CCUACGGGAGGCAGCAGUGAGGAAUAUUGGUCAAUGGACGCAAGUCUGAACCAGCCAUGCCGCGUGCAGGAAGACGGCUCUAUGAGUUGUAAACUGCUUUUGUACGAGGGUAAACGCAGAUACGCGUAUCUUUCUGAAAGUAUCGUACGAAUAAGGAUCGGCUAACUCCGUGCCAGCAGCCGCGGUAAUACAGAGGAUUCAAGCGUUAUCCGGAUUUAUUGGGUUUAAAGGGUGCGUAGGCGGUCGGAUAAGUUAGAGGUGAAAUCCCGAGGCUCAACUUCGGAAUUGCCUCUGAUACUGGUCGGCUAGAGAGUAGUAGCGGUAGGCGGAAUGUAUGGUGUAGCGGUGAAAUGCUUAGAGAUCAGACAGAACACCGAUUGCGAAGGCAGCUUACCAAGCUACUUCUGACGUUGAGGCACGAAAGCGUGGGGAGCAAACAGGAUUAGAUACCCCAGUAGUC
rnacentral:rRNA from 1 species